GAAAUUGAUGCCAAAGCGAAUGAAGAAGAAGAUGCAGGUGGAGAGAAUGGCUCAUGCCAGAGCUUGCAAGGUUGCAAAG
rnacentral:sRNA from 1 species